rnacentral:rRNA from 1 species
AGUUUGAUCCUGGACUCAGAACUAACGCUGGCGGCAGGCCUCAAACAUGCAAGUCUAGGGGGUGUAGCAAUACAUCACCGGCGGACGGGUGCGUAACGCGUGGGAAUAUACCUAUCGAUUCGGAACAACUGAGGGAAACUUCAGCUAAUACCGAAUACGUCCUAACGGAGAAAGAUUUAUCGUCGAUAGAUUAGCCCGCGUUCGAUUAGCUAGUUGGUGGGGUAACGGCCCACCAAGGCGACGAUCGAUAGCUGUUCUGAGAGGAAGAUCAGCCACACUGGGACUGAGACACGGCCCAGACUCCUACGGGAGGCAGCAGUUGGGAAUCUUGGACAAUGGGGGAAACCCUGAUCCAGCCAUGCCGCGUGAGUGAUGAAGGCCUUCGGGUUGUAAAACUCUUUCGCGCACGACGAUAAUGACGGUAGUGCGAGAAGAAGCUCCGGCUAACUUCGUG